rnacentral:rRNA from 1 species
UACGUAGGGUGCAAGCGUUGUCCGGAAUUAUUGGGCGUAAAGCGCGCGCAGGCGGUCUCUUAAGUCUGAUGUGAAAGCCCCCGGCUCAACCGGGGAGGGUCAUUGGAAACUGGGAGACUUGAGUGCAGAAGAGAAGAGCGGAAUUCCACGUGUAGCGGUGAAAUGCGUAGAGAUGUGGAGGAACACCAGUGGCGAAGGCGGCUCUUUGGUCUGUAACUGACGCUGAGGCGCGAAAGCGUGGGGAGCAAACAGG